GAUGAACGCUAGCGGCAGGCUUAAUACAUGCAAGUCGAGGGGCAGCAUAAGUAGCAAUACUUGAUGGCGACCGGCAAACGGGUGCGGAACACGUACGCAACCUUCCUUUAAGUGGGGAAUAGCCCGGGGGAAACCCGGAUUAAUACCCCGUAAUAUUAUGAUGUGGCAUCACAUUAUAAUUAUAGAUUCAUCGCUUAAAGAUGGGCGUGCGCCUGAUUAGGUAGUUGGCGGAGUAAUAGCCCACCAAGCCUGCGAUCAGUAACUGGUGUGAGA
rnacentral:rRNA from 1 species